ACGGAAGGCAGCAGUGAGGAAUAUUGGUCAAUGGGCGGGAGCCUGAACCAGCCAAGUAGCGUGAGGGAUGACGGCCCUAUGGGUUGUAAACCUCUUUUGACAGGGAAUAAAGUGAGCCACGUGUGGUUCAUUGCAUGUACCUGUGGAAUAAGGAUCGGCUAACUCCGUGCCAGCAGCCGCGGUAAUACGGAGGAUCCGAGCGUUAUCCGGAUUUAUUGGGUUUAAAGGGAGCGUAGGCGGAAGGUCAAGUCAGCUGUGAAAUGUAGACGCUCAACGUCUGCACUGCAGUUGAAACUGGUUUUCUUGAGUGCGUAAGAGGCAGGCGGAAUUCGUCGUGUAGCGGUGAAAUGCUUAGAUAUGACGAAGAACUCCGAUUGCGAAGGCAGCUUGCUGGGCCGCAACUGACGCUGAAGCUCGAAGGUGCGGGUAUCGAACAGGAUUAGAUACCCUGGUA
rnacentral:rRNA from 1 species